AACGCGAAGAACCUUACCUACCCUUGACAUCCUGCGAACCUUGUAGAGAUAUGAGGGUGCCGAAAGGAGCGCAGAGACAGGUGCUGCAUGGCUGUCGUCAGCUCGUGUCGUGAGAUGUUGGGUUAAGUCCCGUAACGAGCGCAACCCUUGUCCUUAGUUGCCAGCACGUAAAGGUGGGAACUCUAAGGAGACUGCCGGUGAUAAACCGGAGGAAGGUGGGGAUGAGGUCAAGUCAUCAUGGCCUUUAUGGGUAGGGCAACACACGUGCUACAAUGGUUGUUACAAAGGGAAGCGAAGUCGUGAGGCGGAGCAAAUCUCAGAAAGGCAAUCGUAGUCCGGAUUGGAGUCUGCAACUCGACUCCAUGAAGUUGGAAUCGCUAGUAAUCGCGGAUCAGAACGCCGCGGUGAAUACGUUCCCGGGCCUUGUACACACCGCGAGC
rnacentral:rRNA from 1 species